UGAUUAUCUGUUGAUAGGGAGGGUGAGGCUCCUUCACCUUCAGUAUUACUGUUUUCUUCGGGAAAAAAAAUGCUUACAUACCUCUGUCGGGGAAACCUAGACACACACAGUAUACCUAACCUUCUAUCACAUGGUGCACAUAGGUCAUGGCCAUGGCCCUUCCUCAUUUGGAUCCUUCAAAUUCGGAAUCAUUAGGACAUCUUAACGUCAAGGUGACUUUAUUUUCUUGUUUGUAUUUUAUGAGAAUGACUGCAUCCCACUGUUAU
rnacentral:lncRNA from 1 species